rfam:Photobacterium ganghwense strain DSM 22954 contig0008, whole genome shotgun sequence.
GGAGCGGUAGUUCAGUUGGUUAGAAUACCGGCCUGGCACGCCGGGGGUCGCGGGUUCGAGUCCC